rnacentral:rRNA from 1 species
CAUGCCCCUUAUGACCUGGGCUACACACGUGCUACAAUGGAUAGUACAAAGGGUCGCGAAGCCGCGAGGUGGAGCUAAUCCCAUAAAACUAUUCUCAGUUCGGAUUGUAGGCUGCAACUCGCCUACAUGAAGCCGGAAUCGCUAGUAAUCGUGGAUCAGCAUGCCACGGUGAAUACGUUCCCGGGCCUUGUACACACCGCCCGUCACACCACGAGAGUUUGUAACUCCCGAAGUCGGUAGGGUAACCUGUAUGGAGCCAGCCGCCGAAGGUGGGUCUGUUAUUUGGGGUGUUGUCGUAACAAGGUAGGCGUAUCGGUAGGUGCGGCUGGAUCACCUCCUUU